AGAGUUUGAUCAUGGCUCAGAAUCAACGCUGGCGGCGUGCCUAACACAUGCAAGUCGAACGAGAAAGCGGGGGCAACUCCGCGAGUACAGUGGCGAACGGGUGAGUAACACGUGACUAACCUGCCUUCGAGUGGGGGAUAACUCCGGGAAACCGGGGCUAAUACCGCAUAACAUCGCGAGGUGAAAUUCCUUGUGAUCAAAUGCGCAAGUAGCUUGAAGAGGGGGUCGCGGCUGAUUAGCUAGUUGGUGAGGUAACGGCUCACCAAGGCGAUGAUCAGUAGCCGGCCUGAGAGGGCGCACGGCCACACUGGAACUGAAACACGGUCCAGACUCCUACGGGAGGCAGCAGUGGGGAAUUUUGCGCAAUGGGGGAAACCCUGACGCAGCAACGCCGCGUGGAGGAUGAAGUCCCUUGGGACGUAAACUCCUUUCGACCGGGACGAAUAUUGACGGUACCGGUGGAAGAAGCCCCGGCUAACUUCGUGCCAGCAGCCGCGGUAAUUC
rnacentral:rRNA from 1 species